ensembl:lncRNA
AUGGAUGUAUUUAUCAUGACUCUUGUUUUUUUUAAACUCUGUCCUUUCUCUCUGUAUCAGUCCAGUCAUGCUGUGAUUCAACAGCAUCAUGAAACAAUCUACUGCACAGUGGAAAAGCCGGCCGCAUCCCAGACAUCCCCAGGAAACAACACCGUCAGCAACAAAUUAGAAACCAUCUACGACACUCCAUCACGACAUACCAAGGCUUGUCAGGUAGACAGUGUGGAGGUGAUGAGAGACAAUCAGGAGCAACAGCAAUCUGGACACGACAGAACUAUUAAAGUAAAAGCUACAGUUCACCAGGCAGCAGAAUCCGAUUCAGAACCAAUAAACACAGUUUACUGCAAACUGGGAGAGAUAUGACAUAAACACACACAUACUGUACAUGUCUGAGAUGUCACUUCAGUGGAGAUUUAAGACCUUUGUGAGACAGAAAAAAAAAUUAAUGUGAAUUUAGUGUUUUCACUAGUGAAUAAGAUGUUUUUGAGGAUCAUUGAUAGAUACAAUAUAUGCUGUAUGCUACCUGCUAUUUUGUGAAACAGUACAGGUGCAUCUCAAUAAAUUAGAAUGUCGUGGAAAGGUUCAUUUAUUUCAGUAAUUCAACUCAAAUUGUGA